rnacentral:tRNA from 1 species
GGUGAGGUCGGUGAAGAGCGCCUGCUUUGCACGCAGGAGGUCUGCGGUUCGAUCCCGCAUAGCUCCACCA